rnacentral:rRNA from 1 species
CAUAUCACUAAGCGGAGAAAAAGAAAAUAACCAUGAUUCCUAAAGUAACGGCGAGUGAAAUAGGAUCAGCCCAUAGCCGAAUUCUGCUGUCCUCGACGGCAGCUAGAAGUUGUGGCGUUGGGAACUGCCUAUUGUAACCAUCAGUCAGGCUACGCGACUCCUCUUGAUUGUGGUUUGCCCAUAGCAGGUGAAAGGCCUAUUGUCGUAGUCGUUGUACUGGUGGUGAUGGCAGUCCUUAGAGUCGGGUUGUUUGGGAUUGCAGCCCGAAGUAGGUGGUAAACUCCACCUAAGGCUAAAUACGAUCGCGAGUCCGAUAGCGCACAAGUACCGUGAGGGACAGUUGAAAAGAACUUUGAAGAGAGAGUUCAAAGUACGUGAAACCGUUCAGAGGUAAACGGGUAGAAAGUCGAAUUGGAAGCUGACAAUCAGACUGGCGACCAAGUCUAAGUUGGGUUGGUAGCACGUUAAAGGCUGCCAGCUUGCUUGCAUGGCUGGUUACGGUUGUAUUUGUUGGCUUCGGAUCGCCGCAACGACAGUGACGCUGACCGUUUGGCGUUGGUUCCUCUGGUUGAUGUAGAUCCGUUUGGGUCUUUCAACAUCGGCACACGGGCUAACGUCUCGCGUACAUGGCACAGUCGGUUAUCACGUGAUUCAAGUGUUCUAGCUGGCUAUUGUUCGUUUUGUAUUGGCAGGCUGAUCUUAAACAAGUUCAACUGUUGACAUCAGGGCGGCAGUAGUUGGUUUAAMGACAGAGCAAGAAUCGCUUAGUGGCGUUUGACUGCGAAUUAUCUACCUGACCCGUCUUGAAACACGGACCAAGGAGUCUAACCUAUGCGCAAGUUAUUGGGAAUUGAAACCCAAAAGCAAAGUGAAAGCAAAAAUGGUGAGAUCUGUCGUUGAUUUGUUAAGAACAACGGCAGCGCAUCAUCGUCACGCCUCAACUCGGCUUCGGCUGAAGAGGCGCAGACUGAGCGCACAAGUUGGGACCCGAAAGAUGGUGAACUAUGCGAGGCGAGGUCGAAGCCAGAGGAAACUCUGGUGGAGGACUGUAGCGGUUCUAACGUGCAAAUUGAUCGUCGCAGCUUCGUAUAGGGGCGAAAGACUAAUCGAACCAUCUAGUAGCUGGUUCCCUCCGAAGUUUCCCUCAGGAUAGCUGGCACUUUCGGAGAGCAGUUUUGUCCGGUAAAGCGAAUGACUAGAGGCCUUGGGGACAUAACGACCUCAACCUAUUCUCAAACUUUGAAUGGGCAAGAAGGGUAACUCACUUAAUUGGAGUUGCCUAUUGUGAAUGCUUGAGUGCCAAGUGGGCCAUUUUUGGUAAGCAGAACUGGCGCUGUGGGAUGAACCAAACGUCUAGCUAAGGUGCCAAAUGCUAACGCUCAUCCGAUCCCAUUAAAGGUGUUGGUUGAUAGAGACAGCAGGACGGUGGCCAUGGAAGUCGGAACCCGCCAAGGAGUGUGUAACAACUCACCUGCCGAAUCAACCAGUCCUGAAAAUGGAUGGCGCUGAAGCGUUGUGAACCUAUGCUGGACCGGCAUUGCAAUUUAUAUCUUAAAUCAAGCAAUGCCGAGUAGGAGGGUCGCUGUGGUAUGCGUUGAAGCUUUGGGCGAGAGCCCGAGUCGAGCUGCCACAGGUGCAGAUCUUGGUGGUAGUAGCAAAUAUUCAAACGAGAACUUUGAAGGCCGAAGUGGAGAAGGGUUCCAUGUGAACAGCAUUUGAACAUGGGUCAGUCGGUCCUAAGCGAUAGGCGAAUGCCGUUCUGAAAGCAGGCUUAUAUUUUAUUAACAACAAAAUAAAUGCCUGAUUUUGGUCGAAAGGGAAUCGGGUUAAUAUUCCCGAACCUGGACGCGGAGAUGGAACCGUGGGCAACUGCGGUUCAGUGCGGUAACGCAAACGAUCUCGGAUUCGUUGACGGGAGUCCUGGGAAGAGUUCUCUCUUCUUUGUAAGGGGCUGAAUCCCUGGAAUCGGCUUAGCCGGAGAUAGGGAUAUUGCAAAAGCGCCCGUAAAGCACCACACUUCUUGUGGUGUCCGGUGCACGACUGUCGACACUUAAAAAUCCGAGCUAGACGUUCAUAAUGUUCGCGCCAGGCCGUACCCAUAUCCGCAGCAGGUCUCCAAGGUGAACAGCCUCUGGCCUUAGACUGAUGUAGUCAAGGGAAGUCGGCAAAUUGGAUCCGUAACUUCGGAACAAGGAUUGGCUCUAUGGGUUGGGCCGUGACGGGCUGUGCUAGGAAGCGAUGCCUGCUACUGGUGCUUCGGGUCUGACUGGCAACGGUUGGGCCUAGCGCUGGUUGGCGGCGCGUGGAUCUGGCAUGGCUUCUGUCGGCGAUCCUCGUGGUCGUCGGCAUCGUUCGGCAAAAAGCAACCGCCAUAGAACUGGUACGGACCANGGGAA